UAGGGAAUAUUGGACAAUGGGGGAAACCCUGAUCCAGCCAUGCCGCGUGCAGGAUGACUGCCCUAUGGGUUGUAAACUGCUUUUGUACGGGAAGAAACCACAUUACGUGUAAUGUGUUGACGGUACCGUGAGAAUAAGGAUCGGCUAACUUCGUGCCAGCAGCCGCGGUAAUACGAAGGAUCCUAGCGUUGUCCGGAUUUACUGGGUUUAAAGGGUGCGUAGGCGGACUUUUAAGUCAGUGGUGAAAGCCUGCAGCUUAACUGUAGAAUUGCCAUUGAAACUGAAAGUCUCGAGUGUGGUUGAGGUAGCUGGAAUGUAUCAUGUAGCGGUGAAAUGCUUAGAUAUGAUACAGAACUCCAAUUGCGAAGGCAGGCUACUAAACCAUAACUGACGCUGAGGC
rnacentral:rRNA from 1 species